CAGCUACAAACCACACAACUCUCAGUGAGGCGUGUGCUCAUCUGUGGGGAUUGUUUCUAAAUAAAACCGGCAGUAAGGGUUAUUUCCUCCUAAUGGCAUCAUUCUUAGAGUGCAGCUGGUUGUAAAUAAGCCUCUAGCUGCCUUUUUUUUUUUUUUUUUUUUUUUUUUUUUUUUUUAAACUGCUGGCUUUUUCAUUCAAGUGGUAGGACAUUGAAAGGUUAUCUAAUGGACCACGCAGACAGCUUUAUUUCAGUCUGGACUGAAAUUUAUUUGACUGCUUGAAAACCUCAGGGGUUUUCACCUCCCUGAGAGCAGCAAACAAAACAUCCGGGUCUUUGCAAACCAGCCUGUCCUUUGAAACACGGAGCAUUGCCAGGUUCCUCGCUGUGUUUUUGGCAGUCAGUUCUGCAGUUGAUAUUCUUGGACAGCCAGCGGGGUGAACUUCGGGACCUGCAGGAGACCUUAAGGAGCAAUAGCUGGAGAUAAGCCGGUAUGAGUGGUGGCAGCCUCUCAGCUCCCGGCGGAGGACGAGGAUCUCCUGAUUGAUGGGGACGGAGUUGAGGCUGUGGUCCAGCUGCCCGGCCGAGUUCACGCACCUGGAGUGGCGGCACUCAGCAUCAGCAAUCACUUGGGGGAAGCGGUUGUGGUCCUCGUCGAUCCUGUGGAAGACAGGAUAUGGGCUCACCUUUUCUGAGAUCUGCUGGUGAUGUCAUUGCUUCAGCUAUGUCACUCAAGUAGUAACAAAAUUCCAUGUUGAUGUUAGAAAACCACUGAAAAAUUGUCACGCAAGCUGCAGCGAGUGGAUGCAAACUAUGCGAUUUUGAACUCGGACUACAGUCGACAUCUAGGCAAACGCAUGUCGACAUGCUUCACUCGAGAUGCUCUAAGUAUCAAAAUCACUGCUCUCACCGGCACUGAUGGCUUGGAUCCAUUUGUUGCUUCACCAGUCUGAUGUCUUUCUGUUCUGAGGUGGGCAGAUGUUGGACAGCUGGUGCCCGUCCAGUUUUUCUCUACACUUACCUUGUCUGAAAACCCAGAUUUCUUCUCAAAUUUUAUUUAUUUUUUUUCCUCAAAUUUCCCAGUCUGGAUCAGGUUAUAUUUAUUGAUGUAUAUACCUCACCUCUGACAUGUCAAAUUUGACUAGAAUGUUUUGUGACACUGAGUUCCCAAACUUGAUCAUUCUUCACCUGAGAAGCAAAGCCCAAAACACCACUUUCGGUUGCUUUUGAGAUUGUUGUAUUUUUAUUUCCCUUCAUGAUCUUGUGCUAUGCAACAGGGCUGUGAUGCUACGAUCACAGUCUGGGAAAUGUGAAGGAUGUAAUUAAACCUUCAGUUCCUAGGUUAGGGUUCAAGAGAAGCCUUGUGUAGGCUGUGAGAUGAAAACUGACCCUCUUGUAGGCAGGAAAAAGGGAAGAAACUGCAGGCAUCUGCUCCGUGGUGCAUUGUGGUAGAUAGGUGAUAUCAUGCUACAAUAUUGGGAGCUAAAAUACCUCUCAUCAUGUAGCCCCACGACUGCCUGUGUCCUAGCUCUGUGUCCUGGGUUAUAAUGAUCACUGAUCAUGCUGUUUCUUCAUCCUACAAGACCAAUGUGCUGGAGCUGUACCUCACCCUGCUAGUAUUUAAACAUGCAAACUUUAAACCCCUGUGUUCAGGUGGACAGACGUUUGACAUGGUGACAAGCAGGAUCCCCUUCUCCCUUCCAGACAUUUGUAUUUUCCUAGAUUUUCACUAAGAUACAGUUAGGGGGCUGCAGUCCUGGAGAUGUUGGGCUGCUUCAAGGCUGUCCCUCCUCUUGACUUUGGAAUCUUUGGGAAUUUACAAAGGGAAACCCUGAUACUUCGGUACCAGCUUCAGAGAGAUUCCCUUCCUGAGCUUCAUCACAGUUGCUGUGAUAGCAGCUGCCUUCGUUUUUGUUUCUUUCUUAGGCAGAUGUUGAUGAGCCCUGAUUGCUCAUUAAAAGUAACGAGCUUGACCAAGAGACCCUGCCUGCAGAGAGGGAUGUCUGCAUUAACUCUCCUCAUCUGCUUUUGGGGAUUUAAAUUUAAACAGCUCUCUUGCAAAUAUUUUGGUCACUGGGAUGUAUGGGAUGCUCUGGGACUGGGUGCUCCCGUGGAAUCAUUCAGUAUCCUUGGGAAGGACAGUCCACCCAGAGUGCUGCAAAACCUGGUACGUAUAGAGAAAGAGAGGCUCAGACCUGUCAGGAUGCAGUUUCCCAGGUAAUGAUGCUGAUCCUGAUGGACUAUGAGAUGGCAGAAAUCAGCUGCCACCGUGUUCUCUGAUGAGGUUUUUGAGAAACUGUUUGGAGAGUCAGUAAUGAAUAACCACAAAAGUGUUGUUGCUGCUUGUAGGCUCAGUUUCAGUGAGAUUCUUGCCUUACAUCUCAGAAAGGAGAGGGAGAAUAUACCCAUCCUGCUCUUUAACAUUUUCCUUUUAGGAAAUAUUUCUCGUUGUUUUGCUCUGAGAGUGGGUGACAAGUUGUUAGGCUGUGCACCCUAAAGUAAUGCUUGGUAUAACAGACUCGAUGGUCUGACCCACUCCUCUUCUCAGCUCUAGCUUUCAUCCUGUUUGCACAUGAAAACAUUGCAAAUGAGCUGUGCUUCAUAUUUACUCCUGAGUCCAAAUUUUCUCAGCUUGUGCAAUCCAAAGGAGGUUGCAAACGAGAGUAAAAUUUACCUUGCAGUUUCUGGAAUAGCCAUGACCUAAAUCAGCUUGUUUAAAAGAUGCUGACGUUUGAAGAGUGACUUGUAUAAUUCAGUUUCUCUCUUAGAGAUGUACAGGUUAACGGAAAAGGUUCCCUCAGAAGGGGUUUUCUCUAAUGCUGUUUACUGAAAUAUCCAUUCAAAGUGGGUCAGUUAAAUUUGCGAUUUUAGAAGCAAGAAAGAUUUCAAAAGCCUGCAAGGUAGCGGAAGGUCAGGUUCAACCAGCCUGACCCUAAAUCCAGGCUUAUCUACUCUAAAUGUGUCAGUGGUUUACUCAGUACUUGAAAGGUGAAUAGUUAAGCAUUCCAACACAGCAGACGUAAUGCUCUCUGAAAUGGUGAAAAACAAAAAUACAAACAAAAACUUUCCAUGGUUUGUUCUGAGCCACGAAUGCACAAGUUUGCAAUUGCCAUAGGCAAGAUGAGAGGCUCUUAGGAAAAAACACACAUCUUGAAAUGCUUCCAGUACAUCUGAAUUAUGCAAAUGAAACUCUCACAUUUCUGAUUCUAAGCUUUUUCCCAGGUUAAAACAAUUAUUUUCUAAUUAUUCCUCAUCAGGAGUGAAAAGAAAAACUGAGCAUGAUUUUUCUCUAUGAGUUUAGAAUUUAAUGGCGUUUAUUUUGACCUUUAUCUCACUCUUAACUAGCAGUUUAAUUUCUAUAUGCAAAAAGGACUAUAGCUAGUGUUUUUUCUAUUAUGAUGUUUAAGGACAUAUGCAGCAAUUGUUUUUAUAAACCUGUGUGUGUGGUCUCUCAGGCGGGUGCCACCGAAAGCACUCCGAUAUUGCAAAGCUGCGAGCUCUGUGACUUCCUAUUAGAAGCAAGCAAGAAACAAUUAGUGCCACAUUAGCAACACAUUAGUGCCACAGAAACCACACUUAUUGGAGAGCUGAAAACUAGGAUGCUAAAAAAAGCUUCCUGAAAUGAGUGAAAGGUUAUCUAAAGCCUUCUGAAAUCAAAGCUAGCCCAUCUCUGGGCUCUGGUGAAAGAUUAAGUCGUUACUUCAGCACUUUACCCAGC